AUUGAACGCUGGCGGCAUGCUUUACACAUGCAAGUCGAACGGCAGCGCGGGCUUCGGCCUGGCGGCGAGUGGCGAACGGGUGAGUAAUACAUCGGAACGUGCCCAGUAGUGGGGGAUAGCUCGGCGAAAGCCGGAUUAAUACCGCAUACGACCUGAGGGUGAAAGCGGGGGAUCUUCGGACCUCGCGCUAUUGGAGCGGCCGAUGGCAGAUUAGCUAGUUGGUGGGGUAAAGGCCUACCAAGGCGACGAUCUGUAGCUGGUCUGAGAGGACGACCAGCCACACUGGGACUGAGACACGGCCCAGACUCCUACGGGAGGCAGCAGUGGGGAACUUUGGACAAUGGGCGAAAGCCUGAUCCAGCAAUGCCGCGUGUGUGAUGAAGGCCUUCGGGUUGUAAAGCACUUUUGGCGGGAACGAAAAGGACUGUGCCAAUACCACGGUUCGAUGACGGUACCCGCAGAAUAAGCACCGGCUAACUACGUG
rnacentral:rRNA from 1 species